AUUGAACGCUGGCGGCAUGCCUAACACAUGCAAGUCGAACGAGAGGCGGACUGGUGGAUGAUUUCUUAGCACCUGGCUGAUGGAGCGGGAUAACUACUGGAAACGUUGGCUACAGCCGCUUAACGUCCGUUCUGCUCAGGUGGGAUUAGCUAGUAGGUGGGGUAACGGCUCACCUAGGCGACGAUCCCUAGCUGGUCUGAGAGGAUGACCGGCCACACUGGAACUGAGACACGGUCCAGACUCCUACGGGAGGCAGCAGUGGGGAAUCUUGGACAAUGGGCGAAAGCCUGAUGCAGCCAUGCCGCGUGUGUGAAGAAGGCCUUCGGGUUGUAAAGCACUUUCAGCGAGGAGGCGGUACUCGCAGAAGAAGCACCGGCUAACUCCGUGCCAGCAGCCGCGGUAAUUC
rnacentral:rRNA from 1 species